rnacentral:rRNA from 1 species
GACGAACGCUGGCGGCGUGCUUAACACAUGCAAGUCGAACGAAGUGGCGAACGGGGGAGUAAUACGUGGGUAACUUCCCUCCUUUUUGGGAUAAGCCUUUGAAACGGGGUCUAAUACCGAAUAAAGGGGGAUGCGCUCUGGGCCUAUCAGCUUGUUGGUGGGGUGAUGGCCUACCAAGGCGGUGACGGGUAGCCGGCCUGGGAGGGGACCGGCCACAUUGGACUGAGAGACGGCCCAGACUCCUACGGGAGGCAGCAGUGGGGAAUAUUGCACAAUGGGCGCAAGCCUGAUGCAGCCAUGCCGCGUGUAUGAAGAAGGCCUUAGGGUUGUAAAGUACUUUCAGCGGGGAGGUAAUACCCUUAUCAAUUGACGUUACCCGCAGAAGAAGCACCGGCUAACUCCGUGCCAGCAGCCGCGGUAAUAC